rnacentral:rRNA from 1 species
AGAGUUUGAUCCUGGCUCAGAACGAACGCUGGCGGCAGGCCUAACACAUGCAAGUCGAACGUGAAGCCACCUUCGGGUGGUGGAAAGUGGCAGACGGGUGAGUAACGCGUGGGAACGUGCCCUUCGGUUCGGGAUAACCCAGGGAAACUUGGGCUAAUACCGGAUACGCCCUUCGGGGGAAAAAUUUAUUGCCGAAGGAUCGGCCCGCGUCGGAUUAGCUUGUUGGUGGGGUAAAAGCCUACCAAGGCGACGAUCCGUAGCUGGUCUGAGAGGAUGAUCAGCCACACUGGGACUGAGACACGGCCCAGACUCCUACGGGAGGCAGCAGUGGGGAAUAUUGGACAAUGGGCGCAAGCCUGAUCCAGCCAUGCCGCGUGGGUGAAGAAGGCCUUAGGGUUGUAAAUCCCUUUCAGCGGGGAAGAUAAUGACGGUACCCGCAGAAGAAGCCCCGGCUAACUCCGUGCCAGCAGCCGCGGUAAUACGGAGGGGGCUAGCGUUGUUCGGAAUUACUGGGCGUAAAGCGCGCGUAGGCGGACCUGCAAGUCGGGGGUGAAAGCCCGAGGCUCAACCUCGGAACUGCCUUCGAUACUGCGGGUCUUGAGUCCGGGAGAGGUGAGUGGAAUUCCUAGUGUAGAGGUGAAAUUCGUAGAUAUUAGGAAGAACACCAGUGGCGAAAGCGGCUCACUGGGCCCGGUACUG